UACGUAGGGCGCAAGCGUUAUCCGGAAUUAUUGGGCGUAAAGAGCUCGUAGGCGGUUUGUCGCGUCUGCCGUGAAAGUCCGGGGCUCAACUCCGGAUCUGCGGUGGGUACGGGCAGACUAGAGUGAUGUAGGGGAGACUGGAAUUCCUGAUGUAGCGGUGAAAUGCGCAGAUAUCAGGAGGAACACCGAUGGCGAAGGCAGGUCUCUGGGCAGUAACUGACGCUGAGGAGCGAAAGCGUGGGGAGCGAACAGG
rnacentral:rRNA from 1 species